CAUGGUUUUUUGAUUAUAAUCUAAAAUUUGGUCUGCUCAAUGAUUAAUUAAAUUGCCGCAGUAUUUUAACUGUGCGAAGGUAGCAUAAUAAUUAGUUUCUUGAUUAGAAGCUGGAAUGAAUGAUUGGACGAUAAAUUGACUGUCUCUAUAUAAUUAAUUUAUUAAUUUUAUUUUUAAGUUAAAAAGCUUAGAUUUUGUUAAAAGACGAGAAGACCCUAUAGAGUUUAAUAGAAGGAAUAAUUACUUGAUUUAGUAAAUUUAUAUUAUUUUUUUUAUUUGAUUGGGGUGAUCUAAAAAUUUAAUUAAUUUUUUUACAAUUUAAUUUUUAAUUUAAAAAUUUGUAAUCUAUAAUUUUAAAAUUAAAACAAAUUACCUUAGGGAUAACAGCGUAAUUUUCUUUUAAAGUUCUUAUUGAAAAGAAAGUUUGCGACCUCGAUGUUGGAUUAAAAUUUAUAUUUGGUGCAGUAACUGAGUUAUUAAGUCUGUUCGACUUUUGAAAUUUUACAUGAUCUGAGU
rnacentral:rRNA from 1 species